rfam:Verrucomicrobia bacterium CAG:312_58_20 Ley3_66761_scaffold_1452, whole genome shotgun sequence.
GGGGAUAUAGCUCAGUUGGUUAGAGCAUCUGUAUCACACACAGGGGGUCCUCGGUUCGAGUCCGAGUAUCCCCA